UGUAUACUCCUCUGUUCGGAAAUACUUGUCGGAGGAAUGAAUGUAUCUAGUCGUAUUUUAGUUUUAGAUGCAUCCAUUUUUAUCCAUUCCAGAGACAAGUAUUUCCGGACGGAGUGAGUACUAC
rfam:Triticum urartu cultivar G1812 contig884478, whole genome shotgun sequence.